UUGCUCCACCGGAAAAAGAAGAGUGGCGAACGGGCGAGUAACACGUGGGUAACCUGCCCAUCAGAAGGGGAUAACACUUGGAAACAGGUGCUAAUACCGUAUAACAAUCAAAACCGCAUGGUUUUGAUUUGAAAGGCGCUUUCGGGUGUCGCUGAUGGAUGGACCCGCGGUGCAUUAGCUAGUUGGUGAGGUAACGGCUCACCAAGGCCACGAUGCAUAGCCGACCUGAGAGGGUGAUCGGCCACAUUGGGACUGAGACACGGCCCAAACUCCUACGGGAGGCAGCAGUAGGGAAUCUUCGGCAAUGGACGAAAGUCUGACCGAGCAACGCCGCGUGAGUGAAGAAGGUUUUCGGAUCGUAAAACUCUGUUGUUAGAGAAGAACAAGGAUGAGAGUAACUGUUCAUCCCUUGACGGUAUCUAACCAGAAAGCCACGGCUAACUACGUGCCAGCAGCCGCGGUAAUACGUAGGUGGCAAGCGUUGUCCGGAUUUAUUGGGCGUAAAGCGAGCGCAGGCGGUUUCUUAAGUCUGAUGUGAAAGCCCCCGGCUCAACCGGGGAGGGUCAUUGGAAACUGGGAGACUUGAGUGCAGAAGAGGAGAGUGGAAUUCCAUGUGUAGCGGUGAAAUGCGUAGAUAUAUGGAGGAACACCAGUGGCGAAGGCGGCUCUCUGGU
rnacentral:rRNA from 1 species